GAUGAACGCUGGCGGCGUGCCUAAUACAUGCAAGUCGAGCGAACAGAUGAGGAGCUUGCUCCUCUGACGUUAGCGGCGGACGGGUGAGUAACACGUGGAUAACCUACCUUUAAGACUGGGAUAACUUCGGGAAACCGGAGCUAAUACCGGAUAAUAUAUUGAACCGCAUGGUUCAAUAGUGAAAGACGGUUUUGCUGUCACUUAUAGAUGGAUCCGCGCCGCAUUAGCUAGUUGGUAAGGUAACGGCUUACCAAGGCGACGAUGCGUAGCCGACCUGAGAGGGUGAUCGGCCACACUGGAACUGAGACACGGUCCAGACUCCUACGGGAGGCAGCAGUAGGGAAUCUUCCGCAAUGGGCGAAAGCCUGACGGAGCAACGCCGCGUGAGUGAUGAAGGUCUUCGGAUCGUAAAACUCUGUUAUUAGGGAAGAACAAAUGUGUAAGUAACUAUGCACGUCUUGACGGUACCUAAUCAGAAAGCCACGGCUAACUACGUG
rnacentral:rRNA from 1 species